AAUCAACGCUGGCGGCGUGCCUCAGACAUGCAAGUCGAACGCGAAAGUUUCCUUCGGGGAACAAGUAGAGUGGCGCACGGGUGAGUAACACGUAGGUAAUCUACCUUUGGAUGGGGAAUAACAACCGGAAACGGUUGCUAAUACCGCAUAAUGCAGCGGCACCUAAUGGUGACAGUUGUUAAAGCGGGGGAUCGAAAGACCUCGCGUCUGAAGAGGAGCCUGCGGCGGAUUAGCUAGUUGGUAAGGUAAUGGCUUACCAAGGCGACGAUCCGUAACCGGCCUGAGAGGGCGGUCGGUCACACUGACACUGACAUACGGGUCAGACUCCUACGGGAGGCAGCAGGUCGGAAUUUUGGGCAAUGGGCGAAAGCCUGACCCAGCAACGCCGCGUG
rnacentral:rRNA from 1 species